rnacentral:rRNA from 1 species
AACGGGUGGUAAUGCCGGAUGCUCCAGUUGAUCGCAUGGUCUUCUGGGAAAGCUUUCGCGGUAUGGGAUGGGGUCGCGUCCUAUCAGCUUGACGGCGGGGUAACGGCCCACCGUGGCUUCGACGGGUAGCCGGCCUGAGAGGGCGACCGGCCACAUUGGGACUGAGAUACGGCCCAGACUCCUACGGGAGGCAGCAGUGGGGAAUAUUGCACAAUGGGCGCAAGCCUGAUGCAGCGACGCCGCGUGAGGGAUGGAGGCCUUCGGGUUGUAAACCUCUUUUAUCGGGGAGCAAGCGAGAGUGAGUUUACCCGUUGAAUAAGCACCGGCUAACUACGUGCCAGCAGCCGCGGUAAUACGUAGGGUGCAAGCGUUAUCCGGAAUUAUUGGGCGUAAAGGGCUCGUAGGCGGUUCGUCGCGUCCGGUGUGAAAGUCCAUCGCUUAACGGUGGAUCCGCGCCGGGUACGGGCGGGCUUGAGUGCGGUAGGGGAGACUGGAAUUCCCGGUGUAACGGUGGAAUGUGUAGAUAUCGGAAAAA